rnacentral:rRNA from 1 species
GCUUGGGAACUUGCCUUUGCGAGGGGGAUAACAGUUGGAAACGACUGCUAAUACCGCAUAAUGUCUUCGGACCAAACGGGGCUUCGGCUCCGGCGCAAAGAGAGGCCCAAGUGAGAUUAGCUAGUUGGUAAGGUAAAGGCUUACCAAGGCGACGAUCUCUAGCUGUUCUGAGAGGAAGAUCAGCCACACUGGGACUGAGACACGGCCCAGACUCCUACGGGAGGCAGCAGUGGGGAAUAUUGCACAAUGGGGGAAACCCUGAUGCAGCCAUGCCGCGUGUGUGAAGAAGGCCUUCGGGUUGUAAAGCACUUUCAGUUGUGAGGAAAAGUUAGUAGUUAAUACCUGCUAGCCGUGACGUUAACAACAGAAGAAGCACCGGCUAACUCCGUGCCAGCAGCCGCGGUAAUACGGAGGGUGCGAGCGUUAAUCGGAAUUACUGGGCGUAAAGC